CUCACAAACCUACAGGCAAAGUACCAUAGAGAGAGUAGGUUGGCUGACAUAGAGGCCACAAUGGCCUACUUUGAUGAGAAAGCGAAGGAAGAUCCAGAUUUCUUAAAUAGGAUAAGGUUGGACGAUGAGGACCGUGUCAGGAACAUGUAUUGGGUGGAUGGUGCUGCAAGGAGAGCCUACAAACAUUUCCGAGAUUGCAUUUCAUUUGACGCGACGUAUCUCACUAAUAUGUACAAGAUGCCAUUCGCUCCGUUCAUAGAAAAAAAAUAA
rnacentral:rRNA from 1 species